AUUGAACGCUGGCGGCAUGCUUUACACAUGCAAGUCGAACGGUAACAGGUUAAGCUGACGAGUGGCGAACGGGUGAGUAAUGCAUCGGAACGUGCCCGAUCGUGGGGGAUAACACUUCGAAAGAAGUGCUAAUACCGCAUACGAUCUGAGGAUGAAAGCGGGGGACCGUAAGGCCUCGCGCGAUCGGAGCGGCCGAUGUCAGAUUAGGUAGUUGGUGGGGUAAAGGCUCACCAAGCCGACGAUCUGUAGCUGGUCUGAGAGGACGGCCAGCCACACUGGGACUGAGACACGGCCCAGACUCCUACGGGAGUCAGCAGUGGGGAAUUUUGGACAAUGGGCGCAAGCCUGAGCCCGCAAUGCCGCGUGCAGGAAGAAGGCCUUCGGGUUGUAAGCUGCUUUUGUACGGAGCGAAAAGGCUCCCUCUAGUACAGGGGGCUUAUGACGGUACCGUAAGAAUAAGCACCGGCUAACUACGUGCCAGCAGCCGCCGUAA
rnacentral:rRNA from 1 species